GCAAAUAGGCAAGGGUUCAUCCGUUUUCAAAACGUGGGAGCUGGGGCAAAUCAGAGUGACCAGGCUUCUUGGCAAGAAAGUUCUUCUCCUAUGCUUGUGAAGAGACCUCGAAAGUCCUACAGAGUAGACGCAGCAGAUCCCCACUGAGGAGCUUCUACUGGACGGGAAGAGAGUCUGAGAGGUGGUUUCACAAUUUUACACAACUUUAUUUAUUGAUGAGAGGUGGUUUCACAACAAUUUUACACAACUUUAUUUAUUGAAUUAUUUUUUCUAAGUAGGCUUCACACCUGGUGUAUAGUCCAAUGUGGGGCUUGAACUCAUGGCCCUGAGAUUAAGACUGGAGCUGAGGUCAAGAGUUGGAUGCUUAACCCACUGAGCCACCCAGGCGCCCCUGAUUUUACCCCACUUGAAAACCAGAUUCAUCA
rnacentral:lncRNA from 1 species